AUCGAACCAUUCGACUAUGGAGUUUUCUUUCAAUGUUUUGGGUUGUUAACUGCGGAAGUGGACACUACAAGGCUGCUAUUCCAGAAUUGUUUUUAAAAAUCAUCCACACUUCAUAGGAAAACUUUUCGAAUAGUUUGCCUAUGAAGGAAAAUUUCUUAUAACCUACUGCCUUAAGAAUAUUCUGGACUGCACUUUUGAAUUUAUAGAAAAAGUACUUCGAACUAAUGAGGACUAUGGAAGAGGACAUUACGAUGUUGUUAUUUCAGAAUUGUUCUUUCCAAAAAACCGACACUACAUCGG